AUGAAGGAUUUGGGCCCGCUCCACUUCUUCCUUGGCAUUCAGGUGACCCGAUCAGCGUCUGGCUUCUUCCUCUCACAAGCACAGUAUGCCGAGGACGUCCUCGAGCGUGCUGGCAUGGACAACUGCAAGGCUGCGCCUACGCCGGUGGACACCAAGGCCAAGCUCUCCACUGUUGUCGGUCCGCGCGUCGCCGACCCCUCCGCCUCCCGCAGUCUGGCCGGUGCUUUACAAUACCUGACGAUCACGCGCCCUGAGCUCGCGUACGCGGUCCAGCAGACCUGCCUCCACAUGCAUGAUCCGCGGGAGUGUCACCACGCUCUGCUCAAGCACGCGCUCCGGUAUGUGCGUGGCACGGCCGGGCUCGGUCUUCAUCUUCAGGCUUCCUCGACCCUCGAGCUCUGUGCCUACACCGACGCCGACUGGGCCGGCUGCCUCGACACACGCCACUCCACGUCGGGGUUCUACGUGUUCCUCGGUGAUGCUCUCGUCUCCUGGUCCACGAAGCGACAUGCCACUGUCUCGUGUUCCAGUGCAGAGGCGGAAUACCGCACGGUCGCCAACGCCGUUGCGGAAUGCGUCUGA
rnacentral:rRNA from 1 species